UACAGAGGGGGCAAGCGUUAUUCGGAAUUAUUGGGCGUAAAGGGCGCGUAGGCGGCUUGGCAAGUGGAUGGUGAAAUCCCUCGGCUUAACCGAGGAACUGCCGUCCAAACUGCUUCGCUUGAGACCGGGAGAGGUGAGUGGAAUUCCCAGUGUAGCGGUGAAAUGCGUAGAUAUUGGGAGGAACACCAGUGGCGAAGGCGGCUCACUGGACCGGUGCUGACGCUGAUGCGCGAAAGCGUGGGGAGCAAACGGG
rnacentral:rRNA from 1 species